CGCUGGCGGCGUGCCUAAUACAUGCAAGUCGAACGGUCUUUCUAUGGAAGCUUGCUUCCACUGAGAAGAUAGUGGCGAACGGGUGAGUAACACGUGGGUAACCUGCCCAUAAGAGGGGGGAUAACGUCCGGAAACGGGUGCUAAUACCGCAUAGUUUUCUUGAUCGCAUGAUCGGGAAAGGAAAGACGGCCUUUGUGCUGUCGCUUAUGGAUGGACCCGCGGCGUAUUAGUUAGUUGGUGAGGUAACGGCUCACCAAGACGAUGAUACGUAGCCGACCUGAGAGGGUGAUCGGCCACAUUGGGACUGAGACACGGCCCAAACUCCUACGGGAGGCAGCAGUAGGGAAUCUUCCGCAAUGGACGAAAGUCUGACGGAGCAACGCCGCGUGAGUGAAAGAAGGUUUUCGGAUCGUAAAACUCUGUUGUCAGAGAAGAACAAGUUGGAGAGUAACUGCUCCAGCCUUGACGGUAUCUGACCAGAAAGCCACGGCUAACUACGUGCCAGCCGCCGC
rnacentral:rRNA from 1 species